AGAGUUUGAUCCUGGCUCAGGACGAACGCUGGCGGCGCGCCUAACACAUGCAAGUCGAACGAGCGAGAGAGAGCUUGCUUUCUCGAGCGAGUGGCGAACGGGUGAGUAACGCGUGAGGAACCUGCCUCAAAGAGGGGGACAACAGUUGGAAACGACUGCUAAUACCGCAUAAGCCCACGGGUCGGCAUCGACCAGAGGGAAAAGGAGCAAUCCGCUUUGAGAUGGCCUCGCGUCCGAUUAGCUAGUUGGUGAGGUAACGGCCCACCAAGGCGACGAUCGGUAGCCGGACUGAGAGGUUGAACGGCCACAUUGGGACUGAGACACGGCCCAGACUCCUACGGGAGGCAGCAGUGGGGAAUAUUGCACAAUGGGGGAAACCCUGAUGCAGCGACGCCGCGUGGAGGAAGAAGGUCUUCGGAUUGUAAACUCCUGUUGUUGAGGAAGAUAAUGACGGUACUCAACAAGGAAGUGACGGCUAACUACGUGCCAGCAGCCGCGGUAAAACGUAGGUCACAAGCGUUGUCCGGAAUUACUGGGUGUAAAGGGAGCGCAGGCGGGAAGACAAGUUGGAAGUGAAAUCCAUGGGCUCAACCCAUGAACUGCUUUCAAAACUGUUUUUCUUGAGUAGUGCAGAGGUAGGCGGAAUUCCCGGUGUAGCGGUGGAAUGCGUAGAUAUCGGGAGGAACACCAGUGGCGAAGGCGGCCUACUGGGCACCAACUGACGCUGAGGCUCGAAAGUGUGGGUAGCAAACAGGAUUAGAUACCCUGGUAGUCCACACCGUAAACGAUGAUUACUAGGUGUUGGAGGAUUGACCCCUUCAGUGCCGCAGUUAACACAAUAAGUAAUCCACCUGGGGAGUACGACCGCAAGGUUGAAACUCAAAGGAAUUGACGGGGGCCCGCACAAGCAGUGGAGUAUGUGGUUUAAUUCGA
rnacentral:rRNA from 1 species